CAACUACUCCCUCUGUCCCAAAUUUCUUGUCUUAGAUUUGUCUAGAUACGGAUGUAUCUAAUACUAAANUUGAUACAUCCGUAUCUAGACAAAUCUAAGACAAGAAUUUUGGGACGGAGGGAGUACUUU
rnacentral:pre_miRNA from 1 species